rnacentral:rRNA from 1 species
CCUACGGGAGGCAGCAGUGAGGAAUAUUGCGCAAUGGGGGAAACCCUGACGCAGCGACGCCGCGUGGAUGAUGAAGGCCUUCGGGUCGUAAAAUCCUGUCAGAUGGGAAGAAAUGUUACAUGUUCAACAGGCAUGUAAUUUGACGGUACCAUCAAAGGAAGCACCGGCUAACUCCGUGCCAGCAGCCGCGGUA